rnacentral:lncRNA from 1 species
AGAGGCCGUGGCUUGUUGUUACGCGGCUGGCAGGUCCAGAAUACCUCAAUGAACAUCAAAAUCAUGAUUCUCUGCGGCUUCGUGACCAUUCUCGUUUUACUUGGCACAGUCAGUUUUGGUAACCUUGGAAGCUCCAACGCUGACGACGCUGUUAAUCAAAAUCUCAUCAAGGAAACCAAACCGAUUCUUGCCAAGAGCCCAUCUGCUUCGGUUCCGAACGACUUGGACUUGGAGGAGCCGCCGAAAGCUGAGGUUAAUCCCAACGUGACGUACACUCUAGGGCCCAGGAUCACCAACUGGGACAGUCAACGCAAGGUAUGGCUAAAUCAGAACCCUGGGUUUCCUAGUAUAGUCAACGGCAAAGCUAGAAUCUUGCUUCUUACCGGGUCUCCCCCUGGACCCUGUGACAAACCCAUUGGAGACUAUUAUCUAUUGAAAUCAGUGAAAAACAAGAUUGAUUACUGUAGGAUUCACGGGAUAGAGAUUGUGUACAACAUGGCACAUCUAGAUGAGGAACUCUCAGGGUAUUGGACGAAAUUACCUAUGAUUAGGAGAUUAAUGCUGUCUCAUCCAGAAGUAGAAUGGAUUUGGUGGAUGGAACCUACAGUGAGGUUCACAUCAGGGGGAGUAGUGCGUGUUGUACUCUUUUUCCUUCAUCAUGGUUUUGUCCCACUGGGUUUUCUUUAUAAAGUUUUAAUGAGGCAACAUGAAGCGUACUACAAAUCCUGUAUGGUUAUGGCAUCCAAGAGGGAGUGUUAUAAAUCAUGGAGUGGAUUGCCAUUAACCAGACCCGGUCCAAGACCGGCCCAAUACCUAGAAGAUGGAGAGACGGCCGAAGCCCUAGAGAGAGCCGACUUCAGGAGAGAGAGAGGCGGCCACAAAGCUUAGAGAAAAUGAAACUCUUUCCUUUUUCUAGUAGAUGUAAUCUUUCCAUUAUUAUGUAUUAGUAGUUUUCCUAAUCCUAGUGAGUUUAGGUUUUAGAUACUUUCCAUUUAUCUUCAUCUUGUAAUCCUUAUAUAAAGGAACCCCCUUGAUCGUUAAUAAGAACACACAAAAAAAUAUUCAGUCUCUAAACUCUCUAAUUCAUUAAAAGUAUCAGUGUAAUUAACCAGCAUGAGAGUUAACGUGAGAGCGACACAUAAGAAACUGAAUCCUCAAAUAAUGUUAUAAAGAUUUAUAUAGAUAAAUAAUAAGAUUAUACAUUAAAGUAAAUAUCCGCAUAGGUCCGUUUAGGCGUCCGCGUAUACAUCUAGCCGCUAGGCACUACGAUCACCUGGAUAGCCUAUUUUAGAACACUGGUGUUGACUAUAAAAGCUUUUAGCUUAGCCAUUGGUUCAUUGUAACAAUAUUUAAUUAUUAUUCAAUUGUAAAAUAAUUGGUCAGAUUGGAGAAUCCUGAUAGCCUCAAAUUGUUUUCUCGACCCAAUGAUCUCAGGAGGAACAUAAAGGAUUCACCUUUUAGUGAGAGCUAGAGAGAGAGAGAGAUUGAAGAAGGAAGAAACUUGGAGAGAGAAUAAACACGUAGGAGGGUUCUAGUCCGUGGUUGCAAACGAAGGACGCACAAGAGUACACGACGAUACUCUCUGCGUUGCUUCCUCCUUUCAAUUUAAUUCCUUCUCUUUCCCCCAAAUUGUCAAUCUUUCAAUUUCGUUGCUCGAUGUCGCACGAAGAGUCUCUUCCGGCAUUCACUUUGUUCGGUUUGGAUGAUGUCGAAAACUAUGGUCUGGUGAGUGCUUAUGAUCACUUGAUUGGUUCCUUCUUUGAUAUCAUGUUCUAACUGAGGCUUGUAUUAAUUCACAUCAUCAUUGAGGUUGAUUAUCUGAGACUUUUGUUCUUGAUAUUGCAGGUCAGUGAAGCUGACAAUUCAUUGCCUUUGGACAUACACAAUCAGGUGUUUCAACUUGUUGAGAAGGGAAACCAAUCAUUCAAAGAUUCUCGCUUUGAAGAGGUGAAUUAUUGAAUCUCUCUUUUUAAGUUUUUUUUUUCUCUUGGUCUUGCUACUUCAUUAGGAAUUGCCUGAAACGAAGCAGUGAUUAGUUCAAAGCAAACUGAUUUGUUCUGUAUGUAUUGGAUGUCUUGUAGCUUUUUGGUGUAAUUUACUUUUGGAGUAAGUUUCUUGCUGAACAUGAUAAUGAUCGUAGCACUUUUCAUAUGAUACAUACAAAUGCUUACUGUCUUCCAACAGAACAUUCUGUAAAUUUGUUAAAGUUUAAAGCUUUGGUGCUGAAACUCUCAAAUGAGACUCUCAAUUAUGUUCUUGCCAAUAACAUAUCUUUUUUCUUCUUCCAGGCGAUUAGCAAUUAUUCAAAAGCCUAUUCUAUUAAGCCUCUUGACCCUAUUGUUCUAAGCAAUAGAAGUGCUGCUUAUAUAAGGUAAGCUUUCAUCUAACCUUUUCCAGACUUCCAAUGGAAUUUUCAUGUUGUUUAACUAUUUUUUUCCCUUUUACUCGGUUCACAAAUUUUACCGGUACUGACACAUUCUUAUAUCUUUCCAUCUUUCAACCUCUUGUUUUUUUUUAAGACUUGGACAAUAUCUGAAGCAGAGAUCUGCAUCAGUUUCGGAAUAUACACCUCUGAACGGUUUUGAUAUGUCGAUGCUUGGUGAAGUAUGUACUCUACUUACUUAACCUAUUUUACUAGCAGUUGCAAAAUUCAUCAACUCUGACUCACCCUUGAAAACCUGAUAAUUUCCUACAGCUUGCUCUCAAGGAUGCUGAUAAGCUAAUGAAUCUCCAGAGCAGUUCAGUGAAUUCAUAUACCACAAAGGCUUGUGCCCUCAUGUUGGUAUGUGCCAAAUUAUUCUUAUAUUCAUUUUUCUUUUAGUCAACAAAUCUUUAUCGCUUGUCUUUAUUUCAAGGUACUAUCAAGAGUUUCUCAGUCUGCUUCGUUUCACAAUUGUCAAUUUUGUUUUGAUUCUGCAGCUAGAAAGAUAUGAGUUAGCACGUGACACUAUCCUCUCCGGUCUACAGAUUGAUCCUUUUAGGUACAGUAGUCUAUGUGUACCAUUUCUGAUUCUGUCUUGAUGCCUAAUAGAAUGUGUAGUUUCUAAAGUGUGAGGUUUCUUUAUGAUUGCAUGAAGUUAUCCUCUCCGAUCCAAUCUUCAGGAAUUGGAGAAGGUCAUGCCUACGUCGAUGAGAAAGACACAUGGAAAGGCUGAGAGGACUGAUGACUUUGAUUGCACCGUUUGCCUGAAACUGCUGUAUGAACCUGCUACAACUCCAUGUGGGCAUACAUUCUGCCGAUCAUGCCUCUUUCAGUCUAUGGAUCGUGGUGAGUUUAUACUUUAUAUGGUUCUUCUCUUUACUAUUGUGUUGUUUAUUAAUGCUUUGUGGAAUAUAUAGGCAACAAAUGUCCACUAUGUCGAACUGUCAUUUUUAUGACUCCAAGAACAUGCGCUGUCAGGUAAAAAGGAUUGGAACGCUUAUGCUUUAAGAUUCUUAAAGGUCCAAUGCCAUACCAUGUAAUAGUAUAUUGGAACGCUUAUGCUUUAAUAUUAUGUGAUGGCAGUGUGACAUUGAAUAACAUCAUACAAAAGAACUUCCCAGAGGAGUAUGCCGAAAGGAAAUCAGAGCAAGACACUCUGGUCCACUUAGGGAAUGAAAGUAUGCCUCUUUUUGUCAUGGAUGUGAUCAUCCCUUGUCAGAAGUUGUCUCUUCACAUAUUUGAACCAAGAUAUAGACUAAUGGUGAGUUCUUUCGUUGUCUUUCACGGUUCUGUACAUUUUAAAACUCCCCUGGCUCGCUUUCACAAAAUUCUUAAAUGAUAUAAGAAGUAAAAGCUGUUGUAAGGUCUUCAUAAAUACAUAUCUCAUUUAGGAGAAGAAUAAGCCAAGAAAGUCAAAUGUAGUCAAGAUAAAAGGGGUCUCUACAUAAGAGCUAGUGGAUUGAAACUUCUAUGGUUCACUCUAGCUUGCAGCAGUAUUGCUAUUUGCAUUCAGAAAACUUCUAUCUGAAUAUCUACAAGUCUCUUUGAUAGUUGUACUUUGAUUAACAUGCGCUAACUGAAACAGGUGAGAAGAAUAAUGGAAGGAAACCAUAGGAUGGGAAUGGUGGGUGUUGUGUCUUUUGCCUUAUUGCUUCUUGACUAUACAUUCAUAAAACGUUUCUGACUACUAAGUUUGCCCAUUCUAAUGUUCAUAGGUAGCUCUUGAUUCUGCGACAGGUUCACCAGUGGAUGUUGCUUGCGAAGUCGAAAUCACAGAGUCUGUUGCUUCUUUCUUUAUGAUAAUUCUUAAUGUCCUUCAGUAGAUGAGUUUAUCUCGGGAUCUACUCACACAGAGUCUGCUAAUGUUUUGGAAUUACACAGGUGUGAUCCACUUCCUGAUGGGCGUUUUGUCCUGGAGGUGAAUAUUAUUUACUUCUCUUGUGGCUUUAUUUAAUGUGUAAGUUGUCAAAGGAUCAACUUAGUAUAUCUGCUUUUUUCAGCUUGAAAGCCAUAGAAGGUGUCGCAUUGUAAAAGCUUGGGAUCAAGAUGGGUAAGCUUAGUAUGAUUUGUUUGAGUGGACCACUGUCAUUUCCGAAUAUGAUUGUUCUUAAGCUUAGCAUUGCAGUUGGAUCUCUAUCUCAUACUCUAAUCAUUUCCAGUAGUAUGACAGUACUUGAUCUUUUUAUUCCUGAUUUUCUCCUUUUAAACAUAGUCUAUGCUUUCGUGUUAAGAGUGUGGUAGUUACAUGUUCCUACAUCGAAUAUUUCCAUAAAUUUUUCAACAUAUGUGAAGAUCAAAUAUUCAAUCCACAUGCAACAUGGGUGUGGAACUUUGUGUCGUACAUGUAUUAUCAUUUUGGUCAUAUCCAAACACAAAUGCAUAGCUUCUAAAUAUCUUUUUUGUUUUUUCAGAUAUCGUGUUGCAGAGGUUGAAUGGGUGACAGAUAUACCACCACAAAGCGACCAAGAGAAAGCAGAUGUAUGAUUACAUCUCUUUAGCUUAUGGCAUUACAAUACUUCUUUGCCUUUAUAACGAGUUUAUUUCCCUUUCUUAUUUUCACUUUUCUUUGCGACUUGUUACAGCUGCGGGAACUGACGACUAGUGCAGCAUCAUUUGCUCGGUCAUGGCUAGAGAGAGCAAAGGAAGCAGCUAGACAAGGAGGUAAGAAACUAUUUUUAUCAAGCUGCGAAACGAAAGUGAACUAACUAGUCAUGAGUUCUGUUUUAUGACAGUAACUAUUAGUUGUGCCACUUUGUAUGCUAAUUAGCCUUUUAGCAUUUUCAGACAUGAUCUAGUCUUUCACUUCUUCUUUUUCAGACAGAAGAAGACUUGAAACACUUCUAAUUGUUGAAUCUAUGAUGCCUACACCUCAAGAUCCAGAGCGCUUCAGUUUCUGGGUAAUGCUGUUAAAUUUGCAAAGCUCUCUCUAAAGCACAAACUCUUGGGAUAUAUUGUUUCUCAAUGUCUUUAUUUUUUUGGGGGGGGGCGUCAGCUUGCGACAUUAACAGAUAGGAGACCUUUAGAAAGAUUGGAACUACUUCGGCUUCAGGAUACUGGAGAGGUACUUGAAUAUCAACUAGUCUACUUUGCUUGAUAUGAGAUUGUAUCUGUUUCACUUCUUUUGAUUUUGGGAACUUUUUGUUGCAGAGAAUAAGGCGCGGGUUGAUAUAUCUUCGGUCAGUAGAACGAGGAUGCACAAUGCAAUGAACCGUCACCGUGUACAAGCAAGAGAUCAAACUUGGGAUCUGUUCAUAAGAAAUUUGACAAAAAAAAAACAUGAUUUAUUGAAGGAAUACAAAAAUAUAAGAGAUUAUUGGGGGGAUAGAUAUCAUCAUGUUGUGUAUUGAAACCAGACUACCAUAUUGUUCGUCAUGGUGAUCCUUGUAGGAUCAUUAUUCAAUUUCAACUCAACACUUUAUUAAGACAUAACAAGUGAAAAGCCAUUGAGCAAUUGAGGCAUCUAGUAAAAUAAACUAAUGUAACAUAGCAUUGAUGAUCUUUAAAUCUACAUGACAUCAACAUAAUCCACAUUGUAUAUUUCGCAUUUCUGACACUUGACAAUUUCUUUGACAGCAAAUCGCACUCUUGAUGAGGUUUAUUUGUCUUAAAUUCAAAAGUUGAAGGCUUUUAUUGAAUUAGAUGAAAGUCGGAGGUUCAUUUCAGAUAUUCAGAAAAGAAAGAAAAUAAAUUAAGAUGCGUCCAUAACAAAGAGUUAAUAAUAAUAAUGCAUCACUGUCUUAAACAUAAAAGGAUAUACGCGGGGCAGAGGAUAACUAUUUGAUCGGAAUCAGAUGGCGGAGGAAACUCUGUCUGUCGUCGUCGAUGACCUCCGUCUCCUAUCGGAAUCUCUCCCCUUCCUCACUACGAUUCUCUUUCGUUUCUGCACAUUGCACAAUCUCCUACCCGAUCUCUCUGUCUCUCUCGGGCGCUUUUUUUUUUUUUAUUUAUUUUUUUUUUUAAUAAUCCAGGGGUUCCAGUCAUUCCCGCAUGGUGUCCAGAAGAGGCAGGAUAGUUUCCGCAUGGUGGGAAUCGAACCCGGACGGUGAUUGCCACCACAGGCCCGUCCUGCCACUUGGACUACCUCGUCCGGACAGCUACUUUUUAUAUGCUUCUGCCUUUCGAUUUAACUUAAUAGGUUUUGCAAAAUCUAGUAUCCAUGUCUGUGUGCGUAUAUGUUUCGUGACGUUUGCUGAAUUCUCCGUUAUGAAUUGGUUUAUUAAAACCAGAAGAACAUGAAUGUUGAAGGUUGAAGCUUGUUGCUAGUAUUUUUGUAGUCUUGAAUGUGGAAGAAAGAUUUGCUAAACUGCUUAACAUCAAAGCCUCUUCUAGUUUUUCAUUCUCUCUCACCGGCAUGGAAAUAUACUAAAUUGUAGAAGGAAAAACGUCUCUUUGACAUGGUUUCUAAGAUAACUCAGUGUGCUGUGUAUUGCUGUUAGUAAGUACAUGUAGUUAGGUUAUGUGUGCAUGUCAGAUAUUGGAAUGUGUACCCAAAUUUAUUUGAGGAUUAGAGUCAUUAGACUUGUAGUAAGUGUUUUAAGUGGAAAGUACAUUGCAGACCAGCUUUAACAUUUUUUUUUUUUUUUUGUUUAAAUUGAUCAUUACAGGAAUUCCGGUUCAGGAUACAUGUGAUUUUAUAAACGUCGGUUGGUUCUUUGUGCGCUAAAUUUCUUUUACUUAUUUAUGUUGUGUAUUAGCUUUGCUAAUACUAUAUAGGCUGUCAACAAAUCUAGAAUGGAGAAGGGACUAUCCCUUGGCGUUGAGGAAACAGCAAAUUAUCAGUCAUGUAUACUGUUGCGGUAUACUGAAAAAAAGAAUAAAGAUUUCUUCUGUUUUUAUAAAAGCAAAUUGAAUUAUUUGAUAGUUCCAGCUUGCAACAUAUUAUAGAAGAUCUUCAAAGAGAGAAUGUUGCGGUAUCCCGCAAAAUAUAUAAAACGUCCUCUGCUGGCUUCUUUUACCAUCUUCAAUUCUAAUUCUUAGUAUAUAACAUAUUGUUAUAGAGAUCUCAAACUCAGGUUUUAUGGCAACACGUUUCAAAACCCUGCGUCUAAGUUUCAAGGUUUCAAAGUCAUGGCUGAUUCAGGUAUAGACUCUGAAGACUUUUACCCUUAUACACAGCUGUUGGUUCUUGUUUUUUAUUUAUGCACAUGAUUACUUAAUGUAGUAGAAUUACCUAAGCAUGCUUUUGAAACAUCCUACAAAAUAUCCAAGCAAUCUGGCAUGGUUAUUCAUAUGUUGAAGUUGCUAAACGUUUUUUUGGUUCAUAAAUGUUGAUGUUGGCAAGGCAUAUUGGAUCGAGCAAAGCAUUUUCUCUAGCAUCAAAUAUAUAUAUAUAAAAACGACAGCAUUUCUCCAUGAUCUAAUUUAAUAUUAUUUAAUUAAUUUUUAAAGGAGUCCCUUCAGAUUGUUGACUUUUGAUCUCCAUCAUCUACUAGUUCAGAGCCGUGUAGUUCAGAGAGGGGAUCUACAAAUCCUGUGAGUAAAAAUAGAAAGGUUCACUGAUUAUGGUUAGUAGAUAGAUGUGUACGGUUUAAGUGGCAUCUUCAGGUCUCUCUGUGAGUGACAUCUAUAGAAGGAGCGGCAACAAGUGAAAUGGUUCAGGAUGCGUUGAGAACCUCCGGAAGUGGUGGAGGACUUCCGAAAACGGCUGUAUCUAAUGGCGGAGGGAGAGGCCGUGGCUUGUUGUUACGCGGCUGGCAGGUCCAGAAUACCUCAAUGAACAUCAAAAUCAUGAUUCUCUGCGGCUUCGUGACCAUUCUCGUUUUACUUGGCACAGUCAGUUUUGGUAACCUUGGAAGCUCCAACGCUGACGACGCUGUUAAUCAAAAUCUCAUCAAGGAAACCAAACCGAUUCUUGCCAAGAGCCCAUCUGCUUCGGUUCCGAACGACUUGGACUUGGAGGAGCCGCCG